rnacentral:rRNA from 1 species
AACGAACGCUGGCGGCGUGCUUAACACAUGCAAGUCGAACGCGGAAGCCCGGCUGUGGGUGGGUGGGGGAGUUGCGAACGGGUGAGUAACACGUGAGUAACCUGCCCCCUCCUUUGGGGUAACGCCCGGAAACGGGUGCUAAUACGGGAUAUUCACUGGCCUUCGCAUGGGGGUUGGUGGAAGGGGAUGUUCUGGGGGGGGAUGGGCUCGCGGCCUAUGACGUUGUUGGGGGGGUGAUGGCCUAUCAAGGGUUUGACGGGUAGCAGGCCUGAGAGGGUGACCGGUCACAUUGGGACUGUGAUCCGGCCCAGACUCCUACGGGAGGCAGCAGUGGGGAGGAUUGCACAAUGGGCGAAAGCCUGAUGCAGCGACGACGCGUGAGGGAUGGAGGCCGUCGGGUUGUGAACCUCUUUCGCUUAUGGUAGAGCCGCAACAAGGGUUGUGGUGAGGGUAGUGGGUAGAGAAGCGCCGGCUAACUACGUG